CUCUCUCCACUGCGAGUUCUCUCCCCCUCGGUCGUGACUCUCUUCACUCUUCAGCCUCCAUCUCUCUCUCUCUCCUUGUUCUGAAAUCGAUUGAUACUUUUAAUUUUGAAAUUGGAUGGUGCCCAGAAGUCUAUAUAUAGAAUCUAUGGCUCGGAGCCAACAGUCUCAGAGUCAGAGCCCAAGUGCCAAAGCUCCGACCUUUAUCUUCCACAAUCUACCUCAACCUCCCGACCGCGUAACUGGGCUCGAAGGAGAACAACCCAUCCUGUGUUAGGGUUUCAAGAACCCUAGAAUUAAGUUAAGGAAAUCUGGGGUUGAUUGAGUUUGAAUUUUUAGGGCUCAAAGUUGAUUGAUUAUUAUUAGGAUUUUAAUUAUGAUUUUGGUUUCUGACAGGGUUCAUUGGAGGUUUCGGCGACAGAGAUGAAGAGAUGGACGCCCGGUGACUUUGAUAUUGGAAAGCCUCUGGGACAUCGAAAGUUUAGUCAUGUCUAUUUGGCAAGAGAGAAGAGGGUGUCAUGGAUACCUAUCUACCUCUUAAUAAAUUGGCUAUGCAUUUGGUUAAUCACAAUGACAAGCAUUGAACCUUUUGUGAGCUGUUGCACUUUGACUUGCCACAAGCCCUGGAAGACAAGUAUAAAGGCUACAUGAAUCGCAGAUUUGUGACAAGGGAGAUUGGCCAGACGGGUUGGAGAAACUGAUGGUCUAUAUAAAGCAAAAAUAUCAAAACCCAAAAAUCUAUAUUGCUGAAAAUGAUGAGUUUCAAUUUUACUGGCAAGUUGUUUAUUCUGCAGUUUGAGUUGCUGCAGUGUCAUUGUUUAUGGUCAACCAAAAAAUGGCUAAGAGCUGGGGUCUCGGCACAGUAUUGCUCACUCUUGUGGUUAAAAUUUGGUUGGACAUGAAUUGCAAGUUGUACUUUGAACUGAUACAUAAGAAGUACAUUGUAGUAGGAGACCUCUUUGUAGUUUUUUGUAUGUUUUGGCAAUCUAUGAGAAUGAUGUGCUACUAAAUGACAUUUGGAA